CCCGCCGUAGGAAUCGAGCCUAGAGGCCCCGAAUCGACGCAUCCAUCCACCUCAUCGUCGUCGGUCAUCGUGUCUUGCCGCCAUCGAUUCGCCAGCCACAACAUGCCUCUGAUCCUACCGUCAGCGCCAAUAGCUCCGCGAGGAGACUCUAGUCUCGCUAGUGGUUUCGACGAUAAGAUCGAUGUUGACCGAGUAGCUUGGGAUCCGAGAUAGAGGUCUAGUUCCUAUGGAGGGUCUUAUAGAUAGACAUGCUUUCUCAGCCUUUUAUCUUCUAGAUAUGUGUACCCAAAUAUGUUAUGCUUUCGCUUGUUGCUUGUAUGACUUGAGUGUUUGGGUCUUGUGACCCCUGUUUAUAAUAUCACACUAUGUUGACUCUUA